GGAUUAGAUACCCUGGUAGUCCACGCCGUAAACGAUGUCUACUAGUUGUUGGGGGACUUGAUUCCUUAGUAACGAAGCUAACGCGAUAAGUAGACCGCCUGGGGAGUACGGCCGCAAGGUUAAAACUCAAAUGAAUUGACGGGGGCCCGCACAAGCGGUGGAGCAUGUGGUUUAAUUCGAAGCAACGCGAAGAACCUUACCUACACUUGACAUCCAGAGAACUUGCUAGAGAUAGCUUGGUGCCUUCGGGAGCUCUGAGACAGGUGCUGCAUGGCUGUCGUCAGCUCGUGCCG
rnacentral:rRNA from 1 species